rnacentral:rRNA from 1 species
GAUGAACGCUGGCGGCGUGCCUAAUACAUGCAAGUCGAGCGAACGGACGAGAAGCUUGCUCCUCUGAUGUUAGCGGCGGACGGGUGAGUAACACGUGGAUAACCUACCUAUAAGACUGGGAUAACUUCGGGAAACCGUAGCUAAUACCGGAUAAUAUUUUGAACCGCAUGGUUCAAUAGUGAAAGACGGUCUUGCUGUCACUUAUAGAUGGAUCCGCGCUGCAUUAGCUAGUUGGUAAGGUAACGGCUUACCAAGGCAACGAUGCAUAGCCGACCUGAGAGGGUGAUCGGCCACACUGGAACUGAGACACGGUCCAGACUCCUACGGGAGGCAGCAGUAGGGAAUCUUCCGCAAUGGGCGAAAGCCUGACGGAGCAACGCCGCGUGAGUGAUGAAGGUCUUCGGAUCGUAAAACUCUGUUAUUAGGGAAGAACAAAUGUGUAAGUAACUGUGCACAUCUUGACGGUACCUAAUCAGAAAGCCACGGCUAACUACGUG